GACGAACGCUGGCGGCGUGCUUAACACAUGCAAGUUGAACGAGAAUUUUUCGAGUGAUUUCUUCGGAAUGAUCAUGAAAAAGGAAAGUAGCGAACGGGUGAGUAACACGUGAGAAACCUGCCUUUCACAAAGGGAUAGCCUCGGGAAAACGGGAUUAAUACCUUAUGAAACCAAACACUCGCAUGAGAGAUUGGGUAAAGAUUUAUCGGUGUUAGAUGGUCUCGCGUCUGAUUAGCUAGUUGGUGGGAUAAAAGCCUACCAAGGCAACGAUCAGUAGCCGGAUUGAGAGGUUGAACGGCCACACUGGAACUGAGACACGGUCCAGACUCCUACGGGAGGCAGCAGUGGGGAAUUUUGCACAAUGGAGGAAACUCUGAUGCAGCGACGCCGCGUGAGUGAUGAAGGUCUUCGGAUUGUAAAACUCUGUCCUUAGUGAAGAUAAUGACAGUAACUAAGAAGCAAGCCCUGGCUAAAUACGUG
rnacentral:rRNA from 1 species